rnacentral:rRNA from 1 species
UACCCGCAGCACAAGUGGUGGUCAUUAUUAUUGGGCCUAAAGCGUCCGUAGCUGGCCUGUUAGAUGCCUGGGUAAAUCGAUGCGCUCAACGUAUCGAACACCGGGUAGACCGGCAAGCUUGGGACCGGGAGAGACGUGAGCUACUCGAGGGGUAGGGGUAAAAUCCUGUAAUCCUUCGGGGAGGACCAGUGGCGAAGGCGUCACGUUAGAACGGCUCCGACAGUGAGGGACGAAGCCCUGGGGCGCAAACCGG